UUGAAAGGGAAACGAUUGAAGUCAGUCGUACCUGCGGGUAAUCAGCCUUUUGGGCAUGAUUCUGUGGAGCGUGAGGAGUUAAACGCCUUCAUGCCUGCAUAUUCGUGUACUUUGGGUGUACUUGCCUGUGUGGUUAGUUAACAUCAAUUUUGGUUAUCAUAAAAUGGCUGGAGGAAUGUAGCUUCGAUUUCGAUUGAAGUGUUAUAGACUUCGGCAGAUGUGAUGAUCGGGAUUGAGGAUUGCAACGGAUACCCUUCGGGGCUACCUGUCUGAUCUCUGAUCGUUGCUCUGGUGCCGAAAGCGUGCUUACGGUUAUCAAAGUCGAUGGUCAAUAGGUUAGAAUGGGUUAAAUUCGUUAAGGAUGUUGACGUA
rnacentral:rRNA from 1 species